rnacentral:lncRNA from 1 species
AUGUGCUUUUUAUUGAUAUUGUUGUUGAUUAUUUCAGUUGGUGAAGACAGAGAGUGUGGCUCUUCUUUUUUGUAUGGAGCCUUGCGAUAAUCUGGAUUUCUUGAAAGACAUGGAAUGGGAUCUGGGGUAUUGGUGUCCACUUAUUGAUAAUAUAUGUUUCUUGCAGUAGCUUUGUAAGCUUUAAGAUAUUAGGUAUAUCUUACAAUCAGAUCACCGGUGAAUCC